rnacentral:lncRNA from 1 species
UACAUUGUACCCAAGGUGUAUUCUUUUAUCACUCCUCCUCCCCCAUCCUUUCCCCUGAGUCCCCAAAGUCCACUGUAUCAUUCUUAUGCCUUUGCAUCCUCAUAGCUUAGCUCCCACUUCUGAGUGAGAACAUACGAUGUUUGAUUUUCCAUUCCUGAGUUACUUUGCUUAGAAUAAUGGUCUCCAAUUCCACCCAGGUUGCUGUGAAUGCCUUUAUUUUGUUCCAUUUUAUGGACGAGUGGUAUUCCAUUGCAUAUAUAUAUUCCAUUGCAUAUAUAUAUAUACACAUAUAUUCCAUUGCGUGUGUGUGUGUCACACACACACACUCACUCACCACAAUUUCCUCAUGCCCUUAUUAAUUGAUGGACAUUUGGACUGGUUCCAUAUUUUUGCAAUUGUGAAUUACAAAAGCACAAUAAAGUUGGAUGAUCAGGACAUGGCUUGGCAAAGAUAUCGACGAGGCUACCAUCAAACUAGAGCAGCAACGUGAGUGCUGGCAUUCAGGGCUGAGUGCUGUGCCCGAAGCCCUGGAGUUGUGUAGAUAUGUUUGUGAGUCUGCUCCUGGCAAUGCCUUCCUCCUUGUGACUGUCCAAACAUGAGAGGAAGCUGCUCACCCAUGACCCUUGGAGCAGCGAGAGAGGUUUCAGCCCUUGUCAUUUGUUUGAAGAUGCCAGAUGUGCCAUCACUUUCUU